GAUCCUGGCUCAGGACGAACGCUGGCGGCGCGCCUAACACAUGCAAGUCGAACGGAGUUAAGAGGAGCUUGCUUUUCUUGACUUAGUGGCGAACGGGUGAGUAACGCGUGAGUAACCUGCCCUGGAGUGGGGGACAACAGUUGGAAACGACUGCUAAUACCGCAUAAGCCCACGGAUUCGCAUGGAUCUGCGGGAAAAGGNUUUAUUCGCUUCAGGAUGGACUCGCGUCCAAUUAGCUAGUUGGUG
rnacentral:rRNA from 1 species